ensembl:lncRNA
CUUCACAGAUGAAUCCCAGUUUCAACUGUACCAGGCAGAUGACAGACACUGAGAUAUACUGAUAUACGUUGUCUGCCAUCUGCCGGUACAGUUGAAACCGUAUUCACAGGUCUGCUAUUCACAGGUCUGCUAUUCACAGGUCUGCUAUUCACAGGUCUGCUAUUCACAGGACAGGUAUUCACAGGUCUGCUAUUCACAGGACUGGUAUUCACAGGACAGGUAUUCACAGGUCUGCUAUUCACAGGUCUGGUAUUCAUAGGACUGGUAUUCACAGGUCUGCUAUUCAUAGGACUGGUAUUCACAGGUCUGGUAUUCAUUGGUCUGGUAUUCACAGGUCAGUAUUCAUAGGACUGGUAUUCACAGGUCUGGUAUUCAC